GUAAAAGUAACAGUACUGUCUCAUGCUCAUUUACUGUGUGUUUUCCCUAAUAAUAGUAAUUUUUAAAAUCUAGGGGCAAUUAUUCUUUUGAUACAAGGCUUAUUUCAAUAGUACAGUAACACCCUACUGCAAGGUACUGUAAUCUUUGUUGUGUUUGGUUACGCUACAAUUUAAGCUGAGACAAAAGGAGGUCUGUGGCACACAGUUCUCUCCUGCAUAUUCAGACAGCCUGUAAUACAUAGAGCCUUUUCCUCCCACCCAACGUGCAGCACCUGAUAAGUGACUGUACUCAGAAUUCUCUUAGUGACUGUAGGCCCUUCUUUCCCUUGCAUUCAUGUCUGUGUUCAAAUAUGUUCAUCCAGCCACUACUCUGGCUGGAAAUGUUGGUCUUGUAGUUUAUGAAUAUGUGCUAUGGUUUGAAUUUGGUUAAUCUCCACCAAAACUCGUGUUGAAUCUUGGUCCCCAGUGUGCUAGUUUUGGGAGGUGGUGCCUUUAAAAGGUGAUUAGGUCAUUAGUAUGGAUUAAUGUCUUUCUCCCAAGACUGGAUUAGUUUUUGUGGGAAUGGAUUAGUUUCUGAGAGAGCAAAUUCUUAUAAAGUGAGGUUGCCUUUCAUGUUUUGUCCUUCCAUUUCUCCACCAUGUUUUGACACAGCACAGGGCCCUCACCAGAGGCUACCAGAUGUAGCUGCUCAACCUUGAACUUCCCAGUCUGAAGAACUGUGAGCUAAAUAAAUCUCUUUUCUUUAUAAAUUACCCAGUCUCAGGUAUUUUGUUACAGCAACACAAAACGGACUAAGGCAAUAUCUCUGGAGUUUAUCCUAACAAAUUCCUUUCUUAUACUUUUUUUAGGGAAUAAUUCAGUUUUGCAGACCAUCCUUAAAUGCAAACUACUACUGGGUGCGUAUUAUAUCCUCCCAGUGAGUGAGCCCUGGUAGGUCACAGGGACUCCCAGGGGUGCCCCUCAUCCUCAGGCAUCAGUGCUCUAUGGUACCUACUUCUUCAGCAUGUCCAGACACAUCGGGGAUGUUCCUACCUCCCUCAUGCCAGGUGGGCAGUCCCCACUCCAAAGGGCUUCUAUCCUGGAAGCUCAGCAUCAAUUAAUGUUCCCCACAAAUUUAGAUAAGGAGCAAAGCACCAUUAUUAUCAUCACAUGUCCACAGGAUGCAGAACACUGCAGGAAAGUUGAGAUUUGGGGUUUAAUUCACUUAAUGAACAUUAUUUUGCAUGAGAAAUAAAUCAUAACAUUUAAAGGCAUAUGUAUUUUUUUCAUAAAGAGUGAAAAUAACUUUAUUGAGUUUAUGAAGGAAUGUAUACUAUUACAACUUAGAGCACCAACUUUACUGAUUAUGAGAAUGUUAAUGAGAAAGUUGUUUCUAUUAAUUAGUGUAUUUGAAAAUGAACACAGAGGCAGUCUUCCAACCUGCCAUGCCCCCCAUUUUCUUUUCUCUCUCUCUCUCUCUUUUUGUGUUUUAAUCUGUAUUUCCCUGAUAACAUGUAAUGUGGAGCAUCCUUUCAGAUGCAUAUGUACCAUGAGGAUAUCUCUUUGGUGAGGUGUCUGUUAAGGUCUCUGGCUCCCCCCACCUUUUUUUUUUUUUUUUUUUUUUGAGAAAGAGAGAGUCUUACUGGGUCACCUAGGCUGGAGUCUCUCUCUCUCUCUCUCUCUUUUUCAAAAAAAAAGGUUCGGGGGUAUAUGUGAAGGUUUGUGACAUGUGUAAACUCCUAUCACAGGGUUUGUUGUACAAAUUAUUUUAUCACUCUGGUGUUAAGCCCAGGACUCAAUAGUUGUCUUUUCUGCUCCUCCCCUUCCUCCCACCCUGCAUCCUCAAAUAGACCCUACAUGUUCAAAGUGCUUUGAAGCUCCUUCCGUACUAUUUCAUUUUAUUCUUCGAGACAAUUACAUGGAGUUUGAAGUUAUGAUCUUUGCAGGUGGGAUAACUGAGGUUCAGAGAGGUGAAGUUGUCCACAGUUACACAGGGCACUAGCAGGAGACUUGAGCCUUGAUCUGGUUCAUUUCACCAGCGUCAUACUCACUAAGGGCUGCCAUUUGCCAGGGACCAUGACAGGUCCUGGAGCUGUUGAUGGAAAGAACAGGAUGGUCCUCUCCCUCACCCUUCCCUGGCAUGGCCAUCAGGCCCCCAGUAGCAGGUUUGCCUCUCUUUCUGUCCCUGUCUGGGCCAAGAGGGCAAGUGAGGCCUGAUGAACCAUGCAAAAUGGAGCAGCACUAUCAUCAACUCUGGCCUCCAGGACACUGGGCAUGUGGUCAGGGCUUCCCCAUGUGGUAGGAAAGGUGCCUCCCCUUGCCACAGUUCUCAGCUCCCCUCAGUUUCCCUGAAGGGCAGGUGAGCAGGGGCUUGGGGUUGAGUAAUUCAAAAAAGGUUCCUCUCCAUUUCUAGCAUAGACUUUUCCCUACCCCACCUUACCCCAAUGUUUCUGCUUUGUAUGAAAAGAAAGGCCACCCUUAAACUAGAUAGCAAAAUUAAGCCAGUUAGGGGCUGCCCAGCACCUGUUUAAUCAGACAAAUCCAUUGUGUUCAUGAGACUGACAAUCUUGUGGGGAAGCAAAAACAAAUAUGGAUCAAAGUGUGCAACAGUGUGUAGGCAGACUCAAAAACUCAUAGAGGAUUUACUGUGGAUAGAUGGAUCCAAGAUAAUGGAGGUUGAAUUUUAUAACUUCAGUAUUACUAUGAGCAGCAUUUGAUAGACUGUUUUCUGUUUGCAAGCUGUUUUUUAAAUGUAUUGCUUUGAACAAUUAAAGAGAAUUUUGAAAGAAAAUCAUUUCCCAAUAUUCCCAUCAGCUAAACAAGAUUGCUUCACCCCCACCACCACCCCAAGACUGUAGACUUUUUGAGAGGAUGGAUCAAUUCUAAUUAAUCUUUCCAUUACUAUUAUCUGGCACAAAGUAG
rnacentral:lncRNA from 1 species